GUCUUGUAAUUGGAAUGAUGGUGACCUAAACCCUCACCAGAGUAACAAUUGGAGGGCAAGUCUGGUGCCAGCAGCCGCGGUAAUUCCAGCUCCAAUAGCGUAUAUUAAACUUGUUGCAGUUAAAAAGCUCGUAGUUGAAUUUCUGCGUUAUCGAGUUAUUGACUCUUGUCUUUAAUCGAUUUCGCUUUUGGGAUUUAUCCCUUUUUACUUUGAGAAAAUUAGAGUGUUUCAAGCAGACUUUUGUCUUGAAUACUUCAGCAUGGAAUAAUAGAGUAGGACUUUGGUUCUAUUUUGUUGGUUUUUGAACCUUAGUAAUGGUUAAUAGGAACGGUUGGGGGCAUUCGUAUUUAACUGUCAGAGGUGAAAUUCUUAGAUUUGUUAAAGACGAACUACUGCGAAAGCAUUUGCCAAGGACGUUUCCAUUAAUCAAGAACGAAAGUUAGGGGAUCGAAGACGAUCAGAUACCGUCGUAGUCCUAACCA
rnacentral:rRNA from 1 species